rnacentral:lncRNA from 1 species
UUUGAAGGGCCUUUUGGUCAUUUUAACUUAUAUUUUGUUAUAGCUAUAAAAGGAACAUUGUAGGGUUUUUAGUUUAGUUUUUGGAUGAUAUUUGGGAGUCUUGUAAGACUUGUAACAAGCUCUCUCUCUAGUAAGAAGAGUGACCACCGAAACUAGGAUACAACAAUAGGGUGGAUUCUCUUUUGUUGUUGCUUGCUUG